rnacentral:misc_RNA from 1 species
AUCAUUUAGAGGAAGGAGAAGUCGUAACAAGGUUUCCGUAGGUGNACCUGCGGAAGGAUCAUUGUCGUUGCCUCGACCGACCGGCGGACCGAUACAAGUUUCACCUGCAUCUGCCCCCGCUGUGCCUCGCGGUGCGGUCGGGUGGCAGACCUCUCUCUUAACAGAGCAGAGCAAAACUCCCGGCGCCCAGCGCGCCAAGGAAAUGUAGUCRAUCGGGACGGACGCAGUGGGCGACCCCGACGGGGCGCGCCCGCUGCGCGACCGGACCGGACAUCACACGUGCGUACGUACGACUCUCGGCAACGGAUAUCUCGGCUCUCGCAUCGAUGAAGAACGUAGCGAAAUGCGAUACUUGGUGUGAAUUGCAGAAUCCCGUGAACCAUCGAGUCUUUGAACGCAAGUUGCGCCCGAGGCCAUCGGGCCGAGGGCACGCCUGCCUGGGCGUCACGCCACCCAUCGCUCCCCCCCCACCGUUCGACCUGGAGGGUGACGCGGAGACUGGCCGCCCGUGCCGGAGAAGAUCUCCGUGCGCGGUGGGCCCAAAUGCAGGAACGCUGCGCGGUUGGGCGCGACGAGUGGUGGCCGGAGCAGAGCUGCGGACGCCGCGCCUACCCAUGCCGCGCUGCGUGGAACGAGAGGGGCACGGAUUGCAGGCCGCCGAUGCGACUUGAGCGGAUCGGCGUGCAGGCUCCCGAACGACNUGCGACCCCAGGUCAGGCGGGGCCACCCGCUGAGUUUAAGCAUAUCA